rnacentral:rRNA from 1 species
UGGGGAAUUUUGGACAAUGGGCGAAAGCCUGAUCCAGCAAUGCCGCGUGUGUGAAGAAGGCCUUCGGGUUGUAAAGCACUUUUGUCCGGAAAGAAAUCCUUGGCUCUAAUACAGUCGGGGGAUGACGGUACCGGAAGAAUAAGCACCGGCUAACUACGUGCCAGCAGCCGCGGUAAUACGUAGGGUGCAAGCGUUAAUCGGAAUUACUGGGCGUAAAGCGUGCGCAGGCGGUUUGCUAAGACCGAUGUGAAAUCCCCGGGCUCAACCUGGGAACUGCAUUGGUGACUGGCAGGCUAGAGUAUGGCAGAGGGGGGUAGAAUUCCACGUGUAGCAGUGAAAUGCGUAGAGAUGUGGAGGAAUACCGAUGGCGAAGGCAGCCCCCUGGGCCAAUACUGACGCUCAUGCACGAAAGCGUGGGGAGCAAACAGGAUUAGAUACCCUGGUAGUCCACGCCCUAAACGAUGUCAACUAGUUGUGGGGAUUCAUUCCUUAGUAACGUAGCUAACGCGUGAAGUUGACCGCCUGGGGAGUACGGUCGCAAGAUUAAAACUU